GGAAGUCUUGUCCUAACAGGGCAGGUCAUAUUGUCUUGUUUUUACUUUUAUUGGAGGAAUAAAUUUUAUAAUUGAGAGCCGUGCUAAACUCUCUACCAGUGGAGCUACAUCCCCAGUGCCUAGGUCAAUUUUUUUUCCAGGAAAUAAUGGAUGUGACAUGACUUUGGAAGACAAUUUACAGUGUGAGAAGCAUGGACUCCUUCUGAGUGGUGAAGGCUAUCCAUUGCUGCAUUGAAAGGAACCUGGACAAAUGGCUGGAACUUCUCUGCCAGAAGUUGCUUCCUCUCCUUUGCUGCUGGGCAGUCAUGGAGGCUUCUUGCCCUGACUGAGCUGUCCUCAGCCAUUGCCACGUGCCAGCCACCACCUGUCCUCGCUUGAGUGAGGAGCAGGUGUAGCUCUCUUGGUUCUUCUCAUUGGGCCUAUGAGAGGAUUAAUUAGUUGGGCCUGGGGACUCUGGAUUUGUUGUACAGCCGAGUG
rnacentral:lncRNA from 1 species